rnacentral:tRNA from 1 species
GCGAUGGCUUUGUGGUAGAGCAGUGGUCUCAUAACCCGUGGGUCCCUGGUUCGAAACCAAGUCAAUGCG